GUGAAUCUGCAACAUUUAAGCAAGGCUUGUUACCACAAUUAGUCUCAAUUCAACUGGCGUUUUCUGUGCCAAGCCUUCCCCGUGCCUGGCGCCGUCCACAUAAAGAAGCGCAUGACACAUUCUCUGGAGGAUGGCGUCGGGCGGUGACUACAGCACGGGUGUGCGUGGGCUGAGUGACUCGGUGAGCGACUCCCCUGCUCGGAGCCCCCGUUUGGUCAUACAGGCGUGAAGAGGGGGGUUCUGGAGGCAGCAGAUGCGAGUUUGAAUCCCGUCCAGCAGCUAAACCUCUUUGCCUCUGGAAUUGGGAAUCUAAUGGGUCCCACCUCACAGGGCUGUCCUGAGCAGCAGUGCCUUAGGGCCGUGCCAGCGCUGAGUGAAGCUGAAGGAUGGCGAACUCCCGUUGCUGCUGUGACGAUGACGAUGAUGAUGACGCACCGGGACUGCUCGAAUUAAGGGGUGUGGCGAGAGAGCCUGGGCUGGGGCGGCUGGAGCCGUGGGAUCCAGUCCCAUCUGUUUCCCACUUGCCGUAGGACCUAGAAAGUUCCCUUUCUCUCUCUGGGCUUCUUAGUUUCGCCAGCUAAUCUCCGGGUUCCACCCAGCAUUAGUUUCCCCUUUUUCUAGAGCCUUCCCAGUGCUCUUUCCCUUCCAGACCUUGUCUCCCUCUGUGCCUGCCCAGAGCGGUCCCACCCUGGCCCCACUGCCCAAGUGGCACAUGUCACCCUGCCCGCCUGCCGAUGGCUCAGGUGGCGAGGUCCUGGGAAAGGUCGGAUCCAGGGGCAGAGCCCGCCAGGGCCGGAUCAGGUAAAGAGGACGGGAAACAAGAAUGAGUUGUUGCUUCCUUAGCCCCAAGGUGUGUCCGUUUGCCUGGGGUAUGCAGACAGGCCUGCGAGGAGAGAGGGGGCCACUGGAGAUUAACUCUCCGCUCGACACUGAAGGGGACCCUGGGAGGGCAAGCGUGUCAUACCUCACAGGUGCGCUGCUCUCUACAGUUUACAGAGCACUCGAGUCCGGGACGCUUCUUUAUUCUUGUCGCUUCCUCCAAAGACGCUCCUCCUCAGUUGGAACAAAACGCCAACCCCGCUCCCUGGCCUCAGGCCCUUGGCACCCGCGUCCUGCCCCCGUAUCCCUGCCUCCUCCCUGCCCACCCGCUGCACCCAUGCAGGCCUCCUGUCUGUUCUCCUGAGAAGCCAGGUUUGUUCCCACCACUUUUGCUCUAUUUCUGCCGGGAAUGUCCCCUGCUGCUCUUUUAUUGGCUGGCUCCUUUUCACUCUCGGGUUCUCAGCUAGGGCAUCACCGACACCCUUGCGGGAGGCCUGGCCCUCCACCCUUUCAGGUAGGCCUCCAGGUACCCUUGGCCUGUUCUCCGGCACUUUUGCUCCGGGAGCCUCCUCGUUGUCUGUGAGCUCCGAGAGGCCUCAUCCAUGGGGUCACGGCCACACCCGCGGGGCAGACAGUUCUCAGCAACUCCUGUGAAGGACUGAGGGAGCGGCACUCACAGAAGUCUUGGAGCUGGACCUGUCAUCUUCUGUGAGAGGAGGCUGAAGGCCUGAGGGGACAACCGAUGCUGAGAGCUUUUGUGAAGCAGCUGACAGCUUCGCUCGGGCUUCGGGCCCGGGUGCUGAGAGUUUCAGGAAAGAGUGCAGGCUUUGCAUACAGGUCCUGUGCAGACCCCACACCUGCCUAAAAGACAACUUAAAGCUCCACCUGGGGCUGCCGCCCCCUCUUUGGGAUGCAAGGGAGUCUUCUUGGAGUUUGUAGGACCGUGGCCUCUAAGAAAACAUAGAAGACUCUGGGCUACUUAUUUAUUUAUUUAGAUUUUUAACUGUGGUAAAAUACACAUGACAUAAAAUUUACUAUCUUAACCCUUUUUAAGUGCACAGUUCAGCGGCAUUGAGUACAUUCUCACUGUGGUGCAGCCAGCUCCACCAUCCAUCUCUAUAACUCUUUUCAUCUUGAAAAACUGAAACUCUGUUCUCAUUAAAUAAUAACUCAAUCUCCCCUCCCCCCGCGCCUGGCAACCACCGCUCUCCUUUCUCUCUCCAUGAAUUUGACUGCUCUAAACACCUCAUCUAAGUGGAAUCAUGCAGUAUGUGUCCUUCUGUGACUGGCUUAUCUCACUUAGCACAAUGUCCUCAAGGUCCAUCCAUGUUGUAGCAGGUGUCAGAAUUUCCUUCCUUUUUAAGGCUGAAUAAUAUAAUGUAUAUAUCACAUUUUGUUUACCUGGUCACCCAUCAAUGGACAUUUGGGUUACCUCUUGGCUAUUGUGAAGAACGCUGCUGUGAUCGUGGUGUACAGAUAUCUCCUCGACACCCUGCUUCAAAUUCUUGUUACCUUGUCACUCUUGUCUCCUUUGAUGGACAGAAGUUUAAAUUUUGAUGUAGUCCAAUUUAUGUAUUUUUAAUUUUGUUGCCUGUGCUUUUGGUGUCAUACCCAAGAAAUCAUUGUCAAAUCCAGUGUCAUGAAGGUUUACCCUGUGUUUUCCUCUAAGAGUUUUAUAGUUCUGGGUUAUUUUAGAAGACAAAAAAACCCAUUAAAAUGUAGAAUGAUCUCAGCAUGGCUUGGAACCCUCUGACCCAGAGGUCCAGAGCCAAGAGUUGGAGCCUGGGAGCCCCCGUGAGUGGAGCAUCUUCUGGGGACCAGGGUGGCUGUGGCCUGCUC
rnacentral:lncRNA from 1 species